ACAUCUUGUUACCCAUGCAAUGUUGGGGUCAGAGAGUGUAGAGAGUGGUGUGGGGAGAGUGCAGGCUGAAGAGUUACCUAAGGUCAAAAUCCUGACCUAUGAGCCAAGCCAUCGAUUUGGGAUUUCUACUGAGGACACUGGAAGUCACUAAGAGCAUCUGAAUGGAGCUGAUGAGAAAGGCCUGGAAUCCCAAGAUGCACCCCUGAGGUUCAACUCCUACCCUGAUCAUCUCCUCCAAGAUUCUGUGACCUGGGGAAGUCAACAGUACAUUUCAACACCUAUGAUGUCAGCAUGUGAAUGACAUUCCAAUGCUGCUCAUGGGGUCACCCCUGCAAAGGUGAACUCAGUGGAAAGACCUUGCCAAACCGGAAGGAAAACAGGAUACUUUUCUCCAAAAUACUCAUUCAAUAAAUAUUUGCUUAGGCAUUACAAAGACAAAUAA
rnacentral:lncRNA from 1 species